rnacentral:rRNA from 1 species
CCUACGGGUGGCAGCAGUGGGGAAUAUUGCACAAUGGGGGAAACCCUGAUGCAGCGACGCCGCGUGAGUGAAGAAGUAUUUCGGUAUGUAAAGCUCUAUCAGCAGGGAAGAAGAAAGACGGUACCUGACUAAGAAGCCCCGGCUAACUACGUGCCAGCAGCCGCGGUAAUACGUAGGGGGCAAGCGUUAUCCGGAAUUACUGGGUGUAAAGGGUGAGUAGGCGGCAUGGUAAGCCAGAUGUGAAAGCCUUGGGCUUAACCCGAGGAUUGCAUUUGGAACUAUCAAGCUAGAGUACAGGAGAGGAAAGCGGAAUUCCUAGUGUAGCGGUGAAAUGCGUAGAUAUUAGGAGGAACACCAGUGGCGAAGGCGGCCUACUGGACGGUGACUGACGCUGAGGCUCGAAAGCGUGGGGAGCAAACAGGAUUAGAUACCCGGGUAGUC